AAAAAAUACUAAUUUAGACAAUAUUUGGAUGUGUACAAUAUAUUCCUCCAUCGUAUGGAAGUGUUUACAUUGAUUUAAGCCUUAAAUUAGGCGUGUCAGGCUCUAUAAGGACUUAAUUAACAAGAUCAGAAAUUGACAAUAGGAAAUUGACAUUCCCAAUUGAUUUGGAUGAAGUCCUUUCUUUAUGAUGGAAUAAAAUCUAUACGAG
rnacentral:lncRNA from 1 species